UCAUCAGUGUCGGGGGCAUACGACGGAAGAAUGCAACAACCUGAAAGAUCUAAUAGAGAAGAACGUCCAGAAUGGGCAGCUGGUGCAGUAUGUGAUUGGUCGAGAAGGUUCAGAAGUCCCCCGGGAGGAGAACAUGGAUCUAACUCGGGAAGCACAACCGCAACCGCACCCACAAGCCCAAGGGGUUAUUGAUGUGAUAUCGGGCGGGUCGGUAGGGCGUGUGUAAUCGGUAGGAAGAGGAGCGGGCAUCUCGAGGCCGUAUUGUUGGUAG
rnacentral:lncRNA from 1 species